GACGAACGCUGGCGGCGUGCCUAAUGCAUGCAAGUGGGACGCAAGGAAACACACUGUGCUUGCACACCGUGUUUUCUUGAGUCGCGAACGGGUGAGUAACGCGUAGGUAACCUGCCUAUUAGCGGGGGAUAACUAUUGGAAACGAUAGCUAAUACCGCAUAAUAUUAAUUAUUGCAUGAUAAUUGAUUGAAAGAUGCAAGCGCAUCUCUAGUAGAUGGACCUGCGUUGUAUUAGCUAGUUGGUAAGGUAAGAGCUUACCAAGGCGACGAUACAUAGCCGACCUGAGAGGGUGAUCGGCCACACUGGGACUGAGACACGGCCCAGACUCCUACGGGAGGCAGCAGUAGGGAAUCUUCGGCAAUGGACGAAAGUCUGACCGAGCAACGCCGCGUGAGUGAAGAAGGUUUUCGGAUCGUAAAGCUCUGUUGUAAGUCAAGAACGUGUGUGAGAGUGGAAAGUUCACACAGUGACGGUAGCUUACCAGAAAGGGACGGCUAACUACGUG
rnacentral:rRNA from 1 species